AUGGCUCCUACCGAGGCUGAGGCUGAUGUAGAGGAGGGAGAAGAGAAGAAGAAGAGGGAAAGGAAAGCAGCUGAAGCUGCUUUCACGUGGAUUCAAAAUAACUUUGCGACGUGCCCUCCGGAUGCCACUGAUGAUGUGAUCCAGACACAUGCUCGUGUGUAUAUGUGGUACGUUGUGUAGAGGACUUUGUUUCCUGACUCCACUGGCAAGAACGCUCCAUGGAUGUGGCUGAAGGCGUUGACCGUCUUUGAUAGCAAAUGGAGCUGGGGUUCAGCGACUCUUGCCUACUUGUACCGACAGGUAGUUGGUCUGUUUUGUGAUCAACUCAUUUCUUCAUUAGCAAUGCAAGCUUGCUGUCAAGUUAACAUUGUUUUUUUCUUUCAUAUGUAG
rnacentral:rRNA from 1 species